ensembl:lncRNA
GAGGCCCACCUUCAUCUGUGAGCAUCUUCCCCCUCGGAUGGAUGCUGCUGCUGCUGCUGGCCAAGGGUAGAGGAGUCCAAAGAAGAUACUCAAAGCCCAGACUUAAAAACCAUUUGAGCAUUUGAAGAAAAAAACCCAUGGGUGAUACAGAUACAACCAAACUGCUGGGCACUCCAAAAAAAGUGGAGAACAGCUAUGAAAACUGGAUAUAAAUCUGACUCCUCGGCACUGCCAAAUACGCACUGUCGCUCGGGGUUUGUUCUAUUGAUUCAUGAGAAAGAUGACGGCACUCUCUCACGUAAUAAUCUCCGUGACUGCUGCUGCUCACACCAGGUGUUCUGGACGGGACCGCCUGCAGGCUGGGGCAGCUCCCAGCUCACUGUCACCGCCUCUUCUGUUUGCGUUAUGGGUUACUGCAUGGCCAAGAUCCACACUGUGCAACACCACGUGGACUUCAUACAAAUGUAUGAACCUUCCCCACAGCGUUUGCAGAGAUGAGAGCUGGCACCUUGGGCAGACUGGUGUCUGGGAUGCUGGAAUGAGAAAGGAACUGAGCAAGCAGACGCGCAGUUGACUCAGGAGGUGCCAUUGCUGGGGCUUCAAAAUCGCUGUGCAAACAAAGCCUGCUCCUCAGCCAGCUGCUUCCCAGACUCUACUGGCACAUGGGGCCACUCCAACCCACAUCUCUAUUCAGCUCCAGGAUGUUUCUGUCCGCCUGACAUUGUCCAAGUCCUGCUCAAUGGAAGCGCUGGUGCUCACCCCACCAACCACCUCAUCUGCUCUUGUCUGCACAUUUGCAGAGGGUGCUUCUGCCUCUUGUGGGAUCCACCACUAGACAUCUCCUGGCACCAUUUCCUGCACUUUCACACACUCUUCUCCCUGGCAAAGCUCUUUUAAGCGGUCCCUGCUGCAGGCUUCCCUCCCUUUCCCUCCCCACUUGUGCUGACACAGCUGUUUGGGGGCAGGCUGGCAAACCAGAUUGGUGGGCGGAUGUGGGAUACACGCGGCCCUCACAGAUAUUUUUGUCCCAGCUGCAGAU